rnacentral:rRNA from 1 species
CUCAGUUCGGAUUGGAGCUGCAACCCGACUCCAUGAAGCUGGAUUCGCUAGUAAUCGCGCAUCAGCCACGGCGCGGUGAAUACGUUCCCGGGCCUUGUACACACCGCCCGUCAAGCCAUGGAAGCCGGGAGUGCCUGAAGUGCGUGAGCGCAAGCAGCGCCCUAAGGUAAAACCGGUGACUGGGGCUAAGUCGUAACAAGGUAAC